AAACAAUAGACAUCUGCAUAUUCUUCAUUCAGAUCAACCAGUGGCUAGCAUUUGCCACCUUUUGCAGUUUCUUUCUCUUUCCGCAAAUGAAAACAGUAGCCUAAAGUGUCAGUUUCAACCAGAAAAUAACAGCUCUGAUUUCUCAUGGCUCACACUCAUCUGAAACGACUCAGGUAGAGGCUGAGGAAGGCCGUGUUGUUUGUCUACCUGGGACUACACCUACUGAAAGAAGUUCUCAAGUUCUGAUUGAGUUCUAAAAUUUUUUGAAGAUUGGAAUUCUUCAUAUGCAAAAGAAAAUGUGUGUGUGUGUUAAAUACAGUCAGCCCUCUUUAUCUGUGGGUCCUGCAUCCUUGCUUUCUACCAACCUCAGAUCAAAAAUAUUCCAGAAAAAAAAGGAUGGUUGCAUCUGUACUGAAUAUGUACAAGCUUUUUUUCUUGUCAUUCUUUAUGCAAUAAAGUAUAACAACCAUUUACGUUGCAUUUCCAUUGUAUUAGGUAUUGUGGGUAAUCUAGAGAUGAUUUGAAGGAUAUUGGAGGGUGUGUCCAGGCUGCAGGCAAGUACUAUGGCAUUUUAUGUCAGGGACACCUACAGAUUUUUGUCUCCAGCCAUGGUUCCUGUAUAGUUUAACAUUUCCACACGCUGAGGGUGUGAUGGGUCUGAGUUGGGUUGGUCCCCCAUGUUUGAGGAAGUGUGCCCAUCAUGAUUGUACACCCUUGUUGUAAACUUCGGAUAUGUCUAUUUUGAUAUUUAAAACAUUUUCAGGUUAAG
rnacentral:lncRNA from 1 species